rnacentral:rRNA from 1 species
UACGAACCGUACGAACGUUGUUCGGAAUUACUGGGCGUAAAGGGCUCGUAGGUGGCCAACUAAGUCAGACGUGAAAUCCCUCGGCUUAACCGGGGAACUGCGUCUGAUACUGGAUGGCUUGAGUUUGGGAGAGGGACGCGGAAUUCCAGGUGUAGCGGUGAAAUGCGUAGAUAUCUGGAGGAACACCGGUGGCGAAGGCGGCGUCCUGGACCAACACUGACACUGAUGAGCGAAAGCCAGGGGAGCAAACGGG